UAAAUUGCAGAUUCUGUUCGAGGCAUUUCAACACGGUAUCAGAGUUUGGUUCAGUAGAGGCAACAAAGGAGAUCGGAUAGUGUGAGGAUUCAUUGCUUAACUGAUUUUUCAAAUGCCAAAAUAUUGAAGAUUGUGGUCUUCUGUUUGUUUGAAGCGCUCCUCUUAACAACAAAACAAACUGUGCAUCUACCAGACCAUGCGACGAGCACAGAUAGUAGGAAAACACGAGACUGGGCGUGGAAAUAGUUAUGUUCUAUGAGGAUUGAAUGCCUACUGAAUUACUCAUGCUUUCUGCGUAUAAAGGCCAUAUUAAUGCUCGAUAAUUCUCCAAGCUCUGUCUAAAGAUUUAUGCCGUUGGGAUCCUGUUGUUGAUUUACAAAGUGCCGUUUGAGCAAAAGCAGAAGCAGGGGCGGGGGCUUUCUUCCACGCCUCCAGUUAUACGAAUGGAAAUGAAGGGCUCAGUGAAUGGACGGCAUUGAUCCUUAUCUGCUCCACUGACUCGGUUAUGGUCUUUCUACCUUAGAAGAGUCGUAUUCAGGAAAAAUGAGCUCAGUUGCAAAUAUAAAUGCAGUAUUCUAUGCAGAUUCAUAUCACCCCAUUCAAGCAGGCAGUAUUGAUGGAACCGAUAUUACUCCUCAUGAUAAUGGCGUAUAUCGUGCAGUCCUUUGUGCUACAGCUGGGCUCUAUGAUCCAAUUGGUGAUCCCAAGGUUAUUGGUGAUCCAUAUUGUACCGUAUUUGUGGGUUGCCUCUCUCAUACCACAACAGAAGAGUCUUUGAGGGAGGAGAUGAGCAAAUAUGGUCAAGUGAAGAACCUCCGUUUGGUGCGUGACAUUGUGACUGGUGCUUCUCGAGGCUAUGCGUUUGUUGAAUAUGAAACUGAUAGUGAGAUGCGUUAUGCCUAUGAGACUGCUCAUCACAGUGUUAUUGAUGGGAGUCAAGUGAUUGUUGACUACAAUCGACAACAGCUGAUGCCAGGUUGGAUUCCACGCAGGCUAGGAGGAGGUUUGGGGGGACGAAAAGAAUCAGGGCAGCUACGCUUUGGAGGACGAGAAAGACCAUUCCGGGCUCCUUUGCGGCCUAUUCCACAUGAUGAACUGAAGAAGCUUGGUAUUCCACUUCCUCCAGAAGGUCAAUACAUGCGAAGGUUUCAGAUUCCACCACCACCCAGGCGCCGGAGCUCAGAUGAUUAUCGUCAUAAACAAUCUGCAUACAGGUCUACUGGACUUUCUCACAAAGGAGGGGAUGCAUUAGAUACGUCCUUAAUGGAUGCUAAAUUAAACCGAGAUAAACCUACCAAGCAUUCAGCCUCAUCAGUUCCAGUAAAAGAUGAACAAGAGGAAGGUGGUAGCUCAGGUGCAAAAGACCGAAGGGGAUACUCUGGUGAUAUUUGCAUAGAGAAAGGUGACAGGGAAGGUAGCAUGCAUGCAGAUAAUGAUGAGGAUGAUUCUAAACAUAGGAGUAACCGUCGUCACAGACAUAGGAGUGACACCAAGAGGCAUUCCACUCAACGUCAUGAAAGAAAAAAGAGAGAUAGAAGUAGGAGUGACACCGGGAGGCAUUCCACUCAACGUCAUGAAAGGAAAAAGAGAGAUAGAAGUAGGAGUGACACCGAGAGGCAUUCCACUCAACGUCAUGAAAGGAAAAAGAGAGAUAGAAGCUCUGAGCAUCGAAGACGCUCAAAUCCAGAUCAGGUUGAUGAUAAUAGAUGGGAACAAAGGUGCCAUGAAGAUGACUAUUCUUACCACAAAUGAUGUGGCAUUCAGAUACAUUUUCUCAUGGAUGAAUAAGAGGCCUUUCUGCUCAAUGAAGAUCUUAUCUUUUCUUCUUAAAUAUAUUCUGAUCUAAUCAAUGAAAACAUUUCCAUCGUCUGACAAGUCUGCCAGAGCACCAAAUUCCUUUUUAAGCAGGCCAUAGGACUUCUGAAUUAUGGCUUCAAAAUUUGGAGGAUCCUGAGCACACUAGCAUAUCAUGUUUGAGUUCAUGGAAAUACUAUUCAUGCAUGACUAUAAAUCAAUGGCAAAUACAUAAUAUCCAUCACCUAAGGGAUAUCCGGAAAGACUAAAGUAGAACUGUGCAACAACAAUCUCGAGCAUAUUCAUAUAUAUUUGGUGUUUCCAGAGUGUAUCAUUUUUUUUAAUAAAAUUAGAGAGGGUUCUCUUGGGGCCCUAGCCCAUAAAGCAACCAACAACUGAAUACAACCAUCAAACUAUAGAGAUAACAACAUCCUGCUUAUGAGUGAAAAGCCAACUGGUUUAGAAUGGCAUAUCAGCGCCCUCUAAAAAGUGGCAUUUUACUAGAUUUCUUUCAAGAUAUAGAAGUUUAAACACCCUCCUCUCGAGGAACCAGUUUCAGUGUCUUCAAAUACAUUCUGGCAACUAGCAGGUUCAAGAGGAGAACCCAAAACUGAAGACAGUGAAGCUGAGAGAGGAAGUGGGGUAGAAGGUGCAACACAAGAAGCCAUAGGAGCAGAGUCACCACUAUAGGCAAAAAAGGAUGAAAUCAAUGCUUGCUUUGGUCCGAUUGCAGAGGGCUGAGCCACUGGACUUGGGACAAACAUUCUGUGAGAGGAAUCCACAGCACUAUCAAGCACCACAUUAUCUGCUGAAGCUAAAGAAGAGGGAUUUGCACCUGAAGGAGGAACUUUAGGAGGGGGAUUGACACCCAAAGGAGAGAGAAGGAUUUUGAGAAGCCUGAGAAACAGCAGCAGCAGCCUCAUUAACAGACAGCUGAUAAAGCUGACCAUCCUUCCACCAAGAGGCCCGACUAGAAGAGCAAGAAAUAACCUUUGGUCAGAAGUCUGCUAUAUGUCCUAGGCCAAAAUAGUUAUGGCAUCAAAGGGCCACUUUUUUAUAAUGUAACUGCUGUUUCUAGAUGUGAUCUUCCUUUUGUUAAUUUUAGUACUUUCAGAUUAGAUGAAACUCAGAAAAUCAGAAUUUGUUUCUAACUAGGUUAAUUAGAUUUAUUGGUUUUCAGAUUUAAGCAUAGUAAGAAAUGAAUGCAAAAGAGACAAGACAAAGUUACCCUGGGAAAACCUCCUAGGAGGAAAAACCCAGCCAGAAAAGAUUCUCAAAUCUGAUUAUGGUUUUAGAUUCAAUUGACAAUUACACACUUAUUUGGAGUAUAGAAGUUGCAGUCACAAGGAAGAUGAUAUAGAAGAC